rnacentral:rRNA from 1 species
CCAAUCUAGAGUNUCGGAGAGGAAAGUGGAAUUCCUAGUGUAGCGGUGAAAUGCGUAGAUAUUAGGAAGAACACCAGUGGCGAAGGCGACUUUNUGGACGAAAACUGACGCUGAGGCGCGAAANCCAGGGGAGCGAACGGGAUUAGAUACCCCGGUAGUCCUGNCCGUAAACGAUGGGUACUAGGUGUAGGAGGUAUCGACCCCUUCUGUGCCGGAGUUAACGCAAUAAGUACCCCGCCUGGGGAGUACGACCGCAAGGUUGAAACUCAAAGGAAUUGACGGGGGCCCGCACAAGCGGUGGAGUAUGUGGUUUAAUUCGACGCAACGCGAAGAACCUUACCAGGUCUUGACAUUGAUGGACAGAACCAGAGAUGGUUCCUCUUCUUCGGAAGCCAGAAAACAGGUGGUGCACGGUUGUCGUCAGCUCGUGUCGUGAGAUGUUGGGUUAAGUCCCGCAACGAGCGCAACCCCUAUCUUAUGUUGCCAGCACGUAAAGGUGGGAACUCAUGAGAGACUGCCGCAGACAAUGCGGAGGAAGGCGGGGAUGGCGUCAAAUCAUCAUGCCCCUUAUGACCUGGGCUACACACGUACUACAAUGGGAGUUAAUAGACGGAAGCGAGAUCGCGAGAUGGAGCAAACCCGAGAAACACUCUCUCAGUUCGGAUCGUAGGCUGCAACUCGCCUACGUGAAGUCGGAAUCGCUAGUAAUCGCAGGUCAGCAUACUGCGGUGAAUACGUUCCCGGGCCUUGUACA